rnacentral:rRNA from 1 species
GACGAACGCUGGCGGCGUGCUUAACACAUGCAAGUCGAACGGAAAGGCCCUGCUUUUGUGGGGUGCUCGAGUGGCGAACGGGUGAGUAACACGUGAGUAACCUGCCCUUGACUUUGGGAUAACUUCAGGAAACUGGGGCUAAUACCGGAUAGGAGCUCCUGCUGCAUGGUGGGGGUUGGAAAGUUUCGGCGGUUGGGGAUGGACUCGCGGCUUAUCAGCUUGUUGGUGGGGUAGUGGCUUACCAAGGCUUUGACGGGUAGCCGGCCUGAGAGGGUGACCGGCAACAUUGGGACUGAGAUACGGCCCAGACUCCUACGGGAGGCAGCAGUGGGGAAUAUUGCACAAUGGGCGGAAGCCGGAUGCAGCAACGCCGCGUGCGGGAUGACGGCCUUCGGGUUGUAAACCGCUUUCGCCUGUGACGAAGCGUGAGUGACGGUAAUGGGUAAAGAAGCACCGGCUAACUACGUG